rnacentral:rRNA from 1 species
AUUGAACGCUGGCGGCAUGCCUAACACAUGCAAGUCGAACGGGGGUAGCGAUACCCUAGUGGCGGACGGGUGAGUAACGCGUAGGAAUCUGCCCCGUAGUGGGGGACAACCUGGGGAAACCCAGGCUAAUACCGCAUGAGCUCGGGAGAGGAAAGCGGGGGACCUUUGGGCCUCGCGCUAUGGGAUGAGCCUACGUCCGAUUAGCUAGUUGGCGGGGUAAGGGCCCACCAAGGCGAUGAUCGGUAGCUGGUCUGAGAGGACGAUCAGCCACACUGGGACUGAGACACGGCCCAGACUCCUACGGGAGGCAGCAGUGGGGAAUAUUGGACAAUGGGCGCAAGCCUGAUCCAGCAAUGCCGCGUGGGUGAAGACGGCCUGCGGGUUGUAAAGCCCUUUGGGUGGGGAAGAACGGCGGGCGGCGAACAGCGGCCUG